AUUGCACGUCUAAGCAGUAAGGCUGAGUAUUAGGCAAAUCCGGUACUCGUUAAGGCUGAGCUGUGAUGGGGAGAAGACAUUGUGUCUUCGAGUCGUUGAUUUCACACUGCCGAGAAAAGCCUCUAGAUAGAAAAUAGGUGCCCGUACCGCAAACCGACACAGGUAGUCAAGAUGAGAAUUCUAAGGUGAGCGAGCGAACUCUCGUUAAGGAACUCGGCAAAAUGACCCCGUAACUUCGGGAGAAGGGGUGCUCUUUAGGGUUAACGCCCAGAAGAGCCGCAGUGAAUAGGCCCAAGCGACUGUUUAUCAAAAACACAGGUCUCUGCUAAACCGUAAGGUGAUGUAUAGGGGCUGACGCCUGCCCGGUGCUGGAAGGUUAAGAGGAGUGGUUAGCUUCUGCGAAGCUACGAAUCGAAGCCCCAGUAAACGGCGGCCGUAACUAUAACGGUCCUAAGGUAGCGAAAUUCCUUGUCGGGUAAGUUCCGACCCGCACGAAAGGCGUAACGAUUUGGGCACUGUCUCAACGAGAGACUCGGUGAAAUCAUAGUACCUGUGAAGAUGCAGGUUACCCGCGACAGGACGGAAAGACCCCGUGGAGCUUUACUGUAGCCUGAUAUUGAAAUUCGGCACAGCUUGUACAGGAUAGGUAGGAGCCUUUGAAACGUGAGCGCUAGCUUACGUGGAGGCGCUGGUGGGAUACUACCCUAGCUGUGUUGGCUUUCUAACCCGCACCACUUAUCGUGGUGGGAGACAGUGUCAGGCGGGCAGUUUGACUGGGGCGGUCGCCUCCUAAAAGGUAACGGAGGCGCUCAAAGGUUCCCUCAGAAUGGUUGGAAAUCAUUCAUAGAGUGUAAAGGCAUAAGGGAGCUUGACUGCGAGACCUACAAGUCGAGCAGGGUCGAAAGACGGACUUAGUGAUCCGGUGGUUCCGCAUGGAAGGGCCAUCGCUCAACGGAUAAAAGCUACCCCGGGGAUAACAGGCUUAUCUCCCCCAAGAGUUCACAUCGACGGGGAGGUUUGGCACCUCGAUGUCGGCUCAUCGCAUCCUGGGGCUGUAGUCGGUCCCAAGGGUUGGGCUGUUCGCCCAUUAAAGCGGUACGCGAGCUGGGUUCAGAACGUCGUGAGACAGUUCGGUCCCUAUCCGUCGUGGGCGUAGGAAAUUUGAGAGGAGCUGUCCUUAGUACGAGAGGACCGGGAUGGACAUACCUCUGGUGUACCAGUUGUCGUGCCAACGGCAUAGCUGGGUAGCUAUGUGUGGACGGGAUAAGUGCUGAAAGCAUCUAAGCAUGAAGCCCCCCUCAAGAUGAGAUUUCCCAACUUCGGUUAUAAGAUCCCUCAAAGAUGAUGAGGUUAAUAGGUUC
rnacentral:rRNA from 1 species